rnacentral:misc_RNA from 1 species
AAAGAGUUAAAGAGAGAGAGAGCUCUCUCAGGCUUCAACCCUCAUGAUGGGAUCUUUAGUGGUGGCGGAAUACAAUGUGUCCUUUAUUGGUUUAAAGAUGUUGGUCUUUUGGUGGUAAUGUGGAGGCUUGAGGACUUUCACCAUGGCUGCUGAUUCUUCCUUUGAUGGUGCUAUUUUCGACUCGCCAAAAUCUAGUAAGUUGACUAUGCAAGAGAAGAGAGAACUUGUAUAUGAAAUUUCAAAGUCACAUGGUGCAAGUGAGACACUGCAGUCAUGGAGCCGUCAAGACAUUCUACAAGUCCUGUGUGCAGAGAUGGGGAAAGAAAGAAAAUAUACAGGCUUGACGAAGCAGAAAAUAAUAGAGCAUCUUUUGAGACUCAUAUCCGAAAAGAAGUCAUCCGUGCCUGACGUUUUGAAAAACCUUGAGCCACAGUCUCCUGCAGGUGGCCAUAAAAA